UCCUACGGGGGGCGGCAGUCGGGAAUAUGGCACAAUGGGCGAAAGCCUGAUCCAGCCAUGCCGCGUGUGUGAAGAAGGUCUUCGGAUUGUAAAGCACUUUAAGUUGGGAGGAAGGGCAGUUACGUAAUACGUGAUUGUUUUGACGUUACCGACAGAAUAAGCACCGGCUAACUGUGUCCCAGCAGCCGCGGUAAUACAGAGGGCGCAAGCGUUAAUCGGAAUUACUGGGCGUAAAGCGCGUGUAGGUGGUUUGUUAAGUUGGAUGUGAAAGCCCCGGGCUCCACCUGGGAACUGCAUCCAAAAGGGGCAAGCUAGAGUAUGGUAGAGGGUGGUGGAAUUUCCUGUGUAGCGGUGAAAUGCGUAGAUAUAGGAAGGAACACCAGUGGCGAAGGGGUCCACCUGGAGUGAUACUGACAGUGAGGUGAGAAAGCGUGGGGAGCAAACAGGAUUAGAUCCCCGGGGAGUCCACGCUGUAAACGAUGUCAAUUANCCGUUUGGAGCCCUGAGCUUCUAGUGGCGCAGCUAACGCAUAAUUGNCCNGCCUG
rnacentral:rRNA from 1 species